ensembl:lncRNA
GCCAGCCUCUCUCGGCAGUCCCCGUGCAGGUUUUUCUCCUCUCACAGGAGUUUAGGGCCUGUAAAAAGACAGCCUCCUGCCCCUCUCUAGAUCUAGAGAAAGCUUUUUUUCCUCUCUGCUGUCUGAGUCUGAAAAGUCUCUUCGUCGGCUUACUUCCCUCAACUGGAGGGAAGAAAGUCUUAAAAACUUAGGGGAGCUAAAGCAAAGCUGCGGUCUCUUCCUUGUUAGGGGAAGCUAUCCUUUUCCCCAAGAGUGAUUUUUUUCUGGGAAUGAGUGGUUCAGGGAACUAGUAGCUCGUGGAGGGGGAGGAGGGGAGGUAGGUAGGUAAGCUCUGCUGGCUGUAUGGCUGCAAACUUGCUUGUAACAUGACAGAGCUUGUCUGCAUGGAAGCCUGAAUUAGAGUACACGGACUUAGAAGGGAUAAUUUGCUGUCUCCUAAGAGCCAAACACUUGAGAGUUCCUAGCAGGCAGUGGCUCCUCAGCCCUUCCUCUGAUAGUGACAAACUCGAGACUUCCCUGCUCUUACUAGUUGAGGUCCCUUUGUUUCAAGCAACCCGUGGCCUGGCUUCUCUGACCAGGUCUUGGAGAUGAUAGUUCUACUUGCUUGUCUUCUGUCUUGAUCCUUGAAGCUUUCUAAAACCCCUCUGGGAACAACCUAUAGAGUAGGUGUGCUACUGGAAAAGCCAGGGCAGAUGUGAACUUAUAUCUGGCAAAACCUAAAUGGAGUUGGGAGACCCGCGUGUUUCUCUUCCAACUGGAAACAUCAACGUGGGUUGAAUUGGGACAGCAGGUGGUAGUUAGGGCCUCAGCCAUUGGAGAUGAGGAUUUUUUUCUUAGAUUGUACUAUUCAACUCCUAGGAGACCUCCCAGGGGAGUGCCCAAGUAGGAAUUGGACUGACUAGAGUUUCUCUAACAGAAUCAUAACUACAUAGCUCCUGGAAGCUCCCUGCUGGCCUAGGUUUGGGAUACCACACCUGCAGUCUUGCCUCACCUGAGAGGGCGAGUAGCUUGUAGAGCUCACACCACAGCUGUGAUGACUGCUACACCCACAGCGUCAUGGUGUUGAGCCUGGCCUGUCUGGAAAGGCCCAGUAUUAAACCAGACUCAGACUGAAUGCUCUAGAAGAAGUGAAGCCUAAGUGCAUGCAAGAGGAACUGGAGGGAAUUGGCAGGCAAAUGAUCACAUGGUGUGGUGGUCUGAGAAGCAGGAAAACCAGAGGCCUAGAGGUGGCUCAACCUGCUGACCUGGGGAAAGUGAGUGGAAAGUGCUGACCCUACUUGAAAAUCAGGCAAGGCUAUUUUUUGUGGAGUUGGCUCAGCUGAGCCAGCUCUGGGCCGAACUUGAUGAGGGCUUAAAUAGAAACUCCUAAGGUGUCGACUUCAUGUGCCGCUUCUAGGUGCUUCAGGAGCUGUUGCUUUUGUUUGGCUUGGAGGUGUGGGAUGGGCUGGCAGGAGCUGAUCUACUGUAGUGUCAGUGACUUCUAGCUGGAGCCUCAACCUCGGAUCCUCUGUGUGGGGAAAUGCCUUUGUGGUGAUGUGGUAUGACAGAAUAUGGGCUUGAGCUCAUCUGAGUUCGGUCCCUAGCUCUGUCACUUACUAGCUCUGAGAACUUGGACAAGUUGUUGCAAAAGUGGCUUAAACUGGGGUUUUGUGACUAGAUAAGACUAGUUAUAGACCAGUGCCCAUCACAGCAGGUGCUCAGUAAGAGUUGCUGGCUGGUAGAGUACCCCGCCCUCUCCCAACAGCUCACGUGGUUCUGUCAUGGGCGUCUUACUUAGUACCUAUGCUCCUCAGCGUGGAACUUCUGUUCAGCCUCAGACCCUGCAGCUGGGAUUGUAUGCACCUGUUGUCCUGAGCAACUGCUUCAAAUGACGGUACCUUAAGGCAUGGAUGAAAGCUGCUUUGUUAAUUCCUCAAGGUCUAAAGCAUGGUUCACAAUGGAUUUCACAAGAUCAGAGGUAGGCCAUCCUGAAAGGGUUCCCUUAACUGUGUUAGCUGCCUAAUGAAAGUAAAACCAGAGAGAUGAAUAGAAUCUUGAAUCUUGUAGGUUAAAGGAUCUGUUCGCCAGUUUCUUAUAGUCUACAGGUGCCAUUUGCUGCAGCCACUGAACUCUUGGCUGAGUUGUAGAGCCAUAGCUGUAGCUUACCCCAUGAUUAAAGGGCUGUGAAGAUAUCUAGGAACUCAGACAUUCACAUCUAUCACUAAGUUUAGCAGCAAGUCACUGGGGGUAGAUGUAAGGGUAAUAGUGGCCAUGUGGCAGUGACUUAGUCCAAGUCCAGCAUGUGUCUGAGCCUGAAAGGUCUCAGGAGCUACGCGUAGUUGGGCUGCCACUCAACCAACUUCAUUUAGGUGGCAGUGGGCUUUGCACCAAGUCACGAGUCUGAAGUUGACAUGACUGGGCAUUAGUCCUGAAAGGGGGUCUCCUAGGCUACUCAGUUGGUAUCUAGGUAGGAGUAUGCUAAGUGAUGAGGGCCCACUCAGGGCUGGAAAAUCCAACUGCUUGUCUGGGCUUCUUGUAUCCUACUUUACACCGUGAGAACGCCUCCCGUCUGAGUGGAGAACGAGGAUCAGGAACUAGCAGAAUCUAGACUGUAGAACUCCCUACAGGGAAGCUGCUUGUGACAAAGCUUGACUCUGCCUGACUCUCCCUAAUAGGUCCUCAAUGGCAGAGAAGUGUGGUGGGCCCCAGAGCCUAAAGGCUUCAGGGCCAGGCAUGGCUUAAGUCUGGCCUCGGUCAUUUAUUUCUCAUGUUUUGAGUUAGUUGCUUAAGCUGUCUGAGCACUUGACUUAUUAAAAUAGGGUAAACUAAAGGUUAACUCCAAGCCAUGAGGCUCCAGUGGUAACCAUAGGGAGCUUGGCUUACUGCUGGUCUAGUAACUACUGACAGCCCUGUACUCCCUUCCCUGCUUAAGUCACCUGCUCUGAGCUCCAAGUGUGGUGGCCGAGAGGCUCCUCUUACGCGUAGCGCCCUCCCCUUAGUGCAAACUGCGCUCAAGUUUUGCCUAAGCAGUGUGUGUCUUCCAGGUUGGCUCUGGUGUCAGCUCUUCACUUAAGACGUAUAGGCUGGUUCGGUAACUCACGUAUCCUGGAACCAUUGGUGGGUGAUGGUCAGUGGGGAAGGGGGUAUAUGUAGCUGGAUCUUCAAGUCGAAGCCUCCUGGCAGGGAGAACGGAAGUCGCUGCUCGAGGAAUAGGGAACCUCCCGCUUCUGUGCCCUGGGGAGGGAGCUCUCCUGAGGGAAGCUCUGGCUACUGGGGCCCCCACCCUUCAGCCUAACUCCACUUGUCACAGCCCAUGGACUCCGAUAGAGAUGGUCUAGUCUCUGAACACUUCUCUCCAGCCCCUCAGACUCCCUUCAUGGGCCUGGGGGGUAGAUUUUAGAGCAGGUUGUAGUACGUCUGAUCUUUCCCAAAGAUAUUAUGGUAUCCCACACUUCUGGGGUGUCUUAAGAUUGUGUGGGGAUUUGCAUGAAAGCCUCAGACUAAGUAGCCCUUGAGGGUGGGGGAGAAGAAAUGGCCUCUUCUGCCAUCCUGUUUGGAAAGUUCUUUGUUCAGGAAACUUGAGGUGAAGGCAAACUCUGCUGACCCGUAUGGACUCCUUGAGAACCCGUCACUAGUUUCACCUACCUCUCUGGGAUGCUCCGGAAUGGCCUUUGUGGCAGCUCUGCAGGGUCAAGGCAGGACUGAGAGAGGAUGGAUGUUGGCUUGUUUCAACCACUUCCCAGAGAUCAAGUUUUUACUACUCUUCCAGAGCUGGCUCUUUACUAAAUCUGCACAAUCCCAUGUACGUUCUAACUUGACAGUCAUUAUCUUGUGUUUUCUAAGGAAAACCAUAAUUGGCAGAGGAGGGGAAAACCUCUGAACAAGUGGUUCCUGAUCUUACCUUAUCUCAAGAUAAGAAUCCCAGAGAAGGUUGAGAUCCUGUAGAUCUCUCUCCAUAAUUUCACAACAAACUAGUUCACUUUCCUAUCUUAAUGCUUCAUUAAAUGUCAAAACAUACGUCUCUCACAGUCCUGUUUGUAAAGGAGCACUUUUGGAGAUUUGCAGACUUUCUGCCUAUCUUAACUCCAUGACUACUUUGUAAAUGCCUGUUUCCUAUCUAGUUAGCUAGUGGCUGGCUUCAGGGCUGCUAAAAUUUUUUGCUUAGAAAGGCUUUCCUUGCUUUAACAGAAUAAGAACAACCUCAAGAUUCCAUUCCUUCUAGAGUAAGUUAGAUUCCCUUUGUAUUAAAGUGUUCCAAUGACACUUACUGGGUUGUCAACCUUUGCUCACUGACCUUGAUGCUUUUAUUCUAAGUUAAGCUAACUGGACUUCUGCCUCAACGUGUAAAGAACUUGGAAGUCAGCUUUCCUGCUGUAAGGACAGGAAUGAUGAAUUAUCAAACUGUUAGAUCAAUCAGAAUUGAGGUCACAGGACAAACUUCUGCCCUGAAAACUACAGACAGCUGCAGAAGAUGGGUUGCCAGGAGCAAAAGCCACAGCUGGAACCAGAAACCAAUCAGGAACACUUAAAGGGUAGUUGACAAAUUGCUGAAGGCUCAGUGUGGACUAGCUUGAGAGUUUAAAAACUCUGGUGGACCCAGUUUUAUGGGACUUGCUACACUUCAUUUGUGUUAUUUCCUGGAUAGGGCAUUGGGCAUGGAGAAAAAGGGUCCAGGGUCUUCAAGAGAAGUAGCCGGCUGAAUGAACAACCUUCUGGAGAUCUACCUCUAGCCAGGAAGACAACCCAAACAUUGGCUUUGAGCAGGAAGGAAUAGUAGGAAAGUCUGUCUGCUUGAGGAUCCAUGGGUCCCACCUGGCCUUGCUCUAGGCCUGCAUUGCAUGUGGCUGGAGUGGGGUGGGGACUAGGAUCUGAGGGGCACUGUAGGAACCGGUUCUCAAAGCUCUCAGAACUGAGUGCGCUUCUAGCAGUAGGGCUUUCCCUCUGGUGCUUGGUUGGACAGUGAGUCCUGGUUGUACUAGUGGCCAGCCAGUGGGUUUCCAUGCUCAAUCCUGCCUUGCUGCUUCAUGUGGAAAGCAGAGCGGAAGCUUCUGAUCUUCAUGAGUACAGUUGUCUUGUGUUGCUAGAGUAAUCUCUCAGAUGUCUCAUCAGUUGCGAGUAUUUGGAUAGACGGUAUGUAGGGCAGAAGUCUUCAGCAUAAUUAGAAAAGGGAGCUCUUCGGGACCAAGUUCUCCCUCUGGCUCACAACUUGCAAAUGCUUUAAGUUCACUGGAAGCUGGGCAUUGCCUCACCUGAUCACUUAUGGACUUGAGCCCUCCAUUGAGGGGACAUGGUCUCUUUAAAUCCAAUCCAUUCAUACCUUGCGAUAGGCAAACUCUUGUUCUCACUCAUGCAUUUUUGAGAAUGAACUCUGGCUGUGUAAUUUCAAGUGCUCUAUUGAAGUUGGUGGUUCAGACAGUUCACUGCAAAGGGACUUGGACUGGGAAGGAUUUCAGCUAAGGGCAAGACUCCUUACCUGCCCAGUUUACCCAAGUUAAAUUCCUUUUAUGUCAUUUGCUUAAUGGGCGCGGGUGCUGACAAGCUCACUACUCCAUAAUGAGCUUGUGCUUAACUCGUAAACAUCAACAUCUGUAAAGCUGCUGUCUCAAGCCUCUCCCCUUCAGGAUCGCUAGGCCUCCGUUUGACACCUGAUGGCCCCUUUUCCCUCUUCUAGCCGGUAAUGCCUCACACUAUCAGCUAGGUGAGGCUUGCAAAUCAGCCGGCUAACAGACUAACCAAGGAGCCAAAAGGAGGGAUCCUUCCUCUGCCUGGCUAGUGGCCCCAUCCCAAAGGAGGGCCCACCAUGGUGCCACACACUCUUCAUGACUUGGGGAUUGAAGUUGAAGACGAGACUAAAGCAAAGGGUCCCAAAGGCAAUGUGACUGCUUCCUUUUCUAACAAUGACACUCAAUUUUAGGGACGCUAUGCUAAAGAUAAAACAGGCCAGAUGCCAAACUCAUCCUCUUCGAACUUUCAAUAAAAUUGUGUUCCUAUAGUAUGGAGUUGUGGGAGAGGCUAUCCUGUCCAGGGGUCUGUACUUUUAAGCUCUUAAGUUGGCCUUGUAAAGGUUCUGUGGUGGCUCGUGCUUGGAAUUUGACUGGAACCAGGGGAUGGUAGAGAGUUUGACUUAGGAUUCUCAGAAUUGGACACAGUCCUCCUGGACCUUUAACUUUGCUCUUAUGGACUUCAUUGACUUCAGUAAUUGCCUUCAUCCAGAGAAGAGUCCUUUCUGAUAAGGAGUAGAUGGUGGCGGUGUUCCUUAGUUCACAGCACACUUGGUACAUGCAAGACCUCUGCAUGGUUAUUUUUUUACCUCCAUUUCCUCACCAUAGGCAAAUACAGGAGUCCCACCUUAUCCACGGUUUCGUUUUCCAGGUACCUGUGGUCUGAAAACUUUAAAUGUAAAAUUGCAGAAACAACUCAUUGCACAUCACUGAGUAUCAUAACUUUGUCCUGCCCAGACGUGAAUCCCUUUGUCCAAUGUAUUCAUGCUGUAUACGCUACCUGCCCAUUAGUCACUUAGCUAUCUCAGUUAUCAGAUCGACUGUUACGGUACUGCAGUACUUGUGUUCAGGCAACCCUUGUUCUACUUAAUGGCCCCAAACCUAACUAGCAUUGGUAUGUAUAGAAAAAAACAUAGCACUGAACUCUCUCUACACUAUCUGUGGUUUCGGGCAUCCCCUGGGGGUCUUGGAACAUAUCCCCCACAGGUAAGAGGACUACUGUACUGUUGGGUAAUCUCAAGUAAGAUGUUGGACGCAUGUUUAGUUCCCUAAGUGCAAUAAUGCUAUAGUCCUUACUUGGUUGGUUUUGCACAUCUUCCUACUUAUGCUUCCUUGGAGACCUAGGUUGGUUCCCUACUGACCCAGGCAGUGCUAUAAGGAACUUGAAGAAGGAGACGUCCUUUCUCAAGUUACAGCAUCCUCAUGGAGGGGCCUAGCUUUUCCCACUACUUCUCCCGAAGUCAGCUUAGUUCCAAACUUCAGUCUUGCUUAAGGACUUCAUGUGAGCACACGUAGAAGGGUAAGAUCUAACUCGCAUUUGUCAGGCAUUAGAUGUGAGAACUGAUUACUUUUGAACUACCCUGAUGUCUUCCGAACUCUGUGCUAUGUUGUUAUACUUAUCUGGAAAAAUUAUCUAGUUCUAGCAAUCUCUUCCUCUGGCUUAAUUAGCUACCCACACCUCUUCAUGUAACUGCUUAAAAAUGAAGACCUAAUUAAGAGGCAAGCAUUCAUUCCAACUGGCAGAAGUAUGACAAACCCACCUGCUGGGGUAAUUGCUUAAGUGGGCAGACUAGCGGCACUACGUGUGACAGGAGCCCUCCUGGCAUGCUUGGGAGCAGUGCCGACUUCCCUCCUUGCAUCCUUGCCCUCCUUGAGGGGCGACAUGUGAGUAGAACCUGCCCUAACUUAUCAAGGGGGUGGGAGACAUUAGUUGGAGACUCAACUCCUCACUUUAACAUGUUACAGCUGGAAGCACAGUGGAGAGAGGAGCUAAAGGGUCUCCCAUCUUGGUUUCUAAACUCUUAGAAGGUAUUCUAAACUCAUGAAGGUCAUGCUUAGAAUUGGUCAUCAUUAGAACUGGCUAGCUCCAACUUCCAUACAAGUCACUAGGUACCACCUAUAGGGUUGGACAAGUAGCAGGGAAGGUAGCCAUGCAGGCACACAUGGGAUUAAAGGGACAACAUAAGCUGUUUUAGUCAAAAAAAAAGGAUACAAUAGGUAGUAUCAGAUGCUGGUGGCAGAGGCAAGAUAAAGCUGUAAGUGGGAGAGUGCGCCAGAUCAGAAACCAAGGAGCUGGACGGAUCAGAAUGUGGGUUGAAAGACAAGGAUAAAUACUUCAGCAGAUGCUAUAACAACCCAACGGCCUGAGUACCCCUCCCCCUCAUGAUACAGGCUGCGCAGUGGGAUGGUGUGUUAAAGACUUUACUAAAUGAAAAAAUGUGAGAAAUGCACUAGUUGGGAAACCUUUAGAUCAACAAAACAUUUUGUUAGAGAUGCUUUGAGAUGAGACCCAGACCCUACCAUCUUUCCAGGGAAACCUGGGGGCCUUCCCUGUCCCUCUGCUGACAGUCCGCGCCUGCUGAGAAGUUGGAUUUGAGCAGGAAUGACCCAGGUUCCUGCCAUCCCCUCCAGUGUUUGUGUAUCGUCCCUGCUAUCUUGAGCACUUACUUACAUUUUAGUCUCUGCCCAGCAUUUCUGGUCUUCCUGACUUUGUCUUCUGUUAAUCAGUUGAUCUAAAUGUAAGGGAAAACUAUUUCAAACUUGGUGAAAUUCUAAGUAGAAAACUAGAAAGUAACAUUUACG